UCUUUCUUGCUCUCAUUUACCUUAUGUUCCCUGGACUUAAUUUUCCCCCCUGCCCUUUAGCUAUAAAGGGGUCCUCUGAAAUAUCUGUUUUUUAAGAGUCAUAUUAAACCUAACGACAAUUUGGUUUCUAUUUUUCUAACUCUCUGUUUCUCACAUUGCUCUUUUUACUCUCAUCCUGUUUUUCCCCUUUCCUCCAUGAACCGUGAAUAUUUUUAUUUCUAUCUUACAGGCUUGCCACCUUUAACUUCCUUCAGGAAUUGCGUUUGGCCUCAGAUGCUUUUUCAGACCUUUGCUCUUUUCCCUCACUUAUCUCGUUUUAGUUUAUUCAGUCAAAGCACAGCAGCACUAUGACAUAGCGAUAGUUCUCAAAUCUUAGCAUUUGUUCAGACUCUACUCAGGGCUGUAAAACUGUACAGAUUGCUUCCCAUUGGGGGUCUUUGUGUGGUUACACAAUAGAUGCCUCAAUCCUGUCUGCCCCUAAUUAAUUUUAUUACUUGUUCUUGAAACUGUCUCCUGAUAUUUUCUCUUUGGGAAAAUCGUACAAAUAGGCAGUGAGGCAUUCCAAGACUGGAUCAAUAGUCUGUUCAUCUAAAAAUUGAUUUACCACUGGACUCUAUCAUUUAACCCAUAGACAGCUUAAAUAUAGGACUGGGAAUAGUUCAGGCAGCCACUUGUUUGCCUUGCUAGCACACGGAUCUGAGUUCAGACUCCGGGACCUUUAUAUAUUAGUAAGUUUUCUGUUGUCACGACAGAGUACCCUGAUUAAAACAAAACAAAACCCACCAACCAAACACACAAAAAACCCCAACAACAACUUUGAGGGGAAAAAAGAGAUUUAUUUUGACUUAUAGUUCUAGAGGGCAUUCAGGACCUCACUUUGGGAAAGGAUUGUCAGCAGGAAUGUGAGGCUGGCUGACCACAUUUCAUCCAAACAAGGAGUUUAUUUGGGGCCAGGGGAACGGGUAUCAGAAAGAGUGAUAGGGAGAAACAGGAAGUGGAGCCAGGCUCUGAAAGCUCAAAGCCUGCUUCCACUGACAUACCUCCCCCAGCCAGGUUCCAUCUCCUGAAUGGUUCACAACUUCCAGCACCACUAGCUUAGGACCAAGGAUCUUCACACACAAGCCUGUGGGGGCAAUUUCAUGUUCAGACCACACCGAGGUUUUUUUAAAUGUUUAAGUAAGGCAUGUCCCUAGGGCCUUUUGACAUGUCAGCCUAGCCAAUUUGGAGAGUUUGAACAUACACAAGCAUACACACACACACACACGUGUGUGUGUGUGUACAAACACAGCCAUGCUUGCACAUGCACAGAAUCACAUACAAAUGUAUGUAUCCACCAACACAUACAAAGGCACUCAUACACUCAUGAAUAUGCACAUACACAUACACAUACAUUCACACAUGAGGAAACAGGAUACAUUUGUGACUCCCUUCACAAGAGAGGCACUCAUGCUUUCUUAGACAACUGAGAAGUGUCUUCUGUCCCUGAAUACUACUGUCUGGACUCUCCUCUGUCUGAAAUAAGCAAAUACCUCUAAGACCUCUAACCUCUUCCCUUCUGUCAUUUCAAGGUCAUCUUGUAACUGACUAGAUAUUGCUUGAUUUUUGUGGUAGCAGUCUUACAAAGAUUUUAUUUUUUUCUGAAAAAUCUUUGUUCUAAUAAUCCUUUAUAUCAUCUAUGUUUUAUUCUAUCCAAAUCUUCAUUAUAUUCUUAUUGUCAGUUAUCUACUUUCCAAAAGCUGUGUAUGGUUCCUGUGCACUUUGAUGCAUUAUUGAGCAUAGAGGAGCAGUAAAAAGAGAACCAAAGUGUCUAGUGUUUGUAGAGAGGUACUAAGGCAGUGAUCAUAGCCGAGGCAAACAAGAAUUUGGCUGUCAUCUGCUAGGAACUCAUUGAUUUGCCCUCUACCAUUAUACCUUACCCUUAAAAUUUUCUAACAUACCCCGUGUUUCUUUUCACAAGUGUCCUGGUCUGUUUACAGAAAGAGGAAGAUAGCUCUCUUUAUUAAAUGCUAACAGUGCUAAUAUUAGGCUUUGUAUUUUUAGUCAUGUCAUUAGUUAUGCAUGACCAGAGGUUGCAGUUUAUUUCUUCAGAGUCUAAACUGAGUGCAAAAAUGUCAAAUAAAAUGAUGUCCUUUUUCUUUAUUUUCCCACUGACCCUUUCUUGCCUUUGAAAGUGUAAGACAACACAAAUUUAAGGCAAUAAACAGAAAAAAGGAUACAGGGGCUAAAAUUAGGGAAGAACUGAACUGUCUUAAAUCUCUGCAGCUGCUUUGGGGACACCUUGGAUUGAAAUUUAUUCAUGCAAUUUAGCCCCACAGUAGAAUAUUUGGGUAACCUCAGACAUUUGUAGGCAUGCUUUGCUAUACUCUUAGACUCACUGAGGCUUAUGAUAAUAUUUAUUCUUCACAUUGGAAGACACUGUGCAAUGGAGAGGUUAAGUAACUGACGAAUGAUCAUAAAGCUAGAAAGUGGCAGAGUCAAGAACUCAAGCCUUAUUUUAUUCCUUCUGGCUAAGAGAUUGUACCGAGAGAAGGAAGGUGGGCAUAGGAAGGGAAAGUGACUGAGGACUUAUGGGGACUUUCACUUUCAAAAUGUAGUGAUGUGUGAGCAUACACAAUAUGCUUGAUAAAUAGAUAUUUUUAGAGAAUGUUUUAUUUGAAUUUUUAAAUUUAAACUUUGUUCUAAGUUGUAGCUGUUGACUUCCUGUUUUAGGGCAGAAAUAUUUUAUAGCAGGUUUAGUACAGCCCUAUGACAUACACCCACUGCUUGCUGGUCCCCUAUGUAGUCAUUAAAAUUUCUUAGGGCACAAGCAAAUUUGCAGACCAUCUGACUAUUUAAUUCUCAAAAAUGAAUAGUGUACGACAGUUUGAUUAUAAUUUUUUUGUUUAUAUUUUUAAUCUUGGGAUCUAGUUCUUUUCAUUCUGCUGUUUGCCUGGUUUUUUUGUUUGUUUGUUUGUUUUGUUGUUUUUUUUUUGUUUUUUUGUUUUUUUUUCCAAGUCACCCAUUGAAAGUGUUGCUACAAACAGUAUCAGAACUGCAGAGAUUUUUCUCAUUGCAGUCAGAAGCUUCACAGGGUCUGUCAGCUGGUAUGGACAAAAACAAUGAAACAAACAUUGACCACUUUCCAUCCUCCCCAACUUGCUUUUUAGUCAUGGUGUUUCAUCACAGCAAUAGAAAACCUAACUAAGACUGGGGUUGUGAAUUACAGAAACAGUCAAACCUGACUCUGUUAAUCUUGUGUUUCUGUCAAGAUGACCACAGACAACUCAGCAUGAUUUGUUUCUAGCUAAUGAUAUUGUAUAGGUUUACUCUUGGUAGUCAACGAUGAUGUUUCUUAAAGGAAUUAUUUUAUUUAUAAUAGUAAAAAGU
rnacentral:lncRNA from 1 species